rnacentral:rRNA from 1 species
AUUGAACGCUGGCGGCAGGCCUAACACAUGCAAGUCGAACGAGUGGCGGACGGGUGAGUAAUGUCUGGGAAACUGCCCGAUGGAGGGGGAUAACUACUGGAAACGGUAGCUAAUACCGCAUACCAUCGGAUGUGCCCAGAUGGGAUUAGCUAGUAGGUGGGGUAAUGGCUCACCUAGGCGACGAGCCCUAGCUGGUCUGAGAGGAUGACCAGCCACACUGGAACUGAGAAACGGUCCAGACUCCUACGGGAGGCAGCAGUGGGGAAUAUUGCACAAGGGGCGCAAGCCUGAUGCAGCCAUGCCGCGUGUAUGAAGAAGGCCUUCGGGUUGUAAAGUACUGUCAGCGAGGAGGCGUUACUCGCAGAAGAAGCACCGGCUAACUCCGUGCCAGCAGCCGCGGUAAUAC